GUAACUUUCCUCAGCAUCAGCUCUCCUCCUCUGGGUGGAGCCCUUCCUGCCCCUCCCCGUUCCUCAGCUGCAGGCAAUUAUUCUGGCAGUAUUUAGGAGCAGCGCACACUAUGAGUGUUCGCCAGAUCGUCUGCUAACCUCAUCGGUACCUGGACUCAUCAUUCCAAAACCUGCCAUAGCCUCGUUCCUGGAUUCCGGUCAGCUGCUGCUUAAUCCUUUUCAGACAAACUGCCAUUCACACCUGCCUGCCUCCCUGCAUACCUGUAUUGGACUCAGCACUCGCCUGGACCUCGCCUCGCCUCCACCUUCAGCUAAUCCCCGCCUGCGAACACUGCCCUGGUCUGCCACAGCUUCCACCAGCCCCACUCCAGUUUCAGCAGUUUAGUGACCUGACUGUUCCAUGCUUGCCCUAGCCCCGCACCUCACAGACACCACGCUUUUGCACUAAGUUUAAUCUUGUUUUCUGUCUUAAAUAUUUAUGUUAGGAACACGUGUAAAUAAAAGUUUUUGUUUUCGCAAAUCA